CCCUCAGAUGUUCUGGGCCGCACGCGUGCUACACUGAGUGGAUCAGCGGGUCAGGUUGCGCGAAAGUGUUUCCUAAUCUUGAAAUCCGCUCGUGAUGGGGAUUGACGGUUGCAAUUUUCCGUCAUGAACGAGGAAUACCUUGUAAGCGCGGGUCAUCAUCCCGCGCUGAAUACGUCCCUGCCCUUUGUACACACCGCCCGUCGCUCCUACCGAUUGAGUGGUCCGGUGAGGCUUUGGGAUCUGAGCGGAAAGAGCGUUUCGCUGUUUCUGCUCGGAAAACUCAGUCGAACCUUAUCAUUUAGAGGAAGGAGAAGGCGGAACA
rnacentral:rRNA from 1 species